rnacentral:rRNA from 1 species
AAUCUUCCGCAAUGGACGCAAGUCUGACGGAGCAACGCCGCGUGAGUGAUGAAGGUUUUCGGAUCGUAAAACUCUGUUGUUAGGGAAGAACAAGUCUCAGCGUCACUGCCGGUACCUUGACGGUCCCUGACCAGAAAGCCUCGGCUAACUACGUGCCCGCAGCCGCGGUCAUACGUAGGUGGCACUCGUUGGCCGGAUGUAUUUGGCGUAAAGCGCGCGCAGGCGGUCUUUUAAGUCUGAUGUGAAAUCUUACAGCUUAACUGUAAGCGGUCAUUGGAAACUGGGAGACUUGAGUGCAGAAGAGGAGAGUGGAAUUCCAUGUGUAGCGGUGAAAUGCGUAGAGAUAUGGAGGAACACCAGUGGCGAAGGCGACUCUCUGGUCUGUAACUGACGCUGAGGCGCGAAAGCGUGGGGAUCAAACA